rnacentral:rRNA from 1 species
UACGUAGGUGGCAAGCGUUAUCCGGAAUUAUUGGGCGUAAAGCGCGCGCAGGCGGUUUCUUAAGUCUGAUGUGAAAGCCCACGGCUCAACCGUGGAGGGGCAUUGGAAACUGGGGAACUUGAGUGCAGAAGAGAAAAGCGGAAUUCCACGUGUAGCGGUGAAAUGCGUAGAGAUGUGGAGGAACACCAGUGGCGAAGGCGGCUUUUUGGUCUGUAACUGACGCUGAGGCGCGAAAGCGUGGGGAGCAAACAGG